rnacentral:rRNA from 1 species
GAUGAACGCUAGCGGCAGGCCUAACACAUGCAAGUCAGGGGGUAACAUAGAAAAGCUUGCUUUUCUGAUGACGACCGGCGCACGGGUGCGUAACGCGUAUACAACCUACCUUUUAGCGGGGGAAUAGCCCACGGGAAACUUGGAUUAAUGCCCCAUAGUAUAUAGACUUCUCCUGAAGUUUAUAUUAAACAUUUAUGGCUAUUAGAUGGGUAUGCGUCCUAUUAGUUAGUUGGUAAGGUAACGGCUUACCAAGGCAGCGAUAGGUAGGGGUCCUGAGAGGGAGAUCCCCACACUGGUACUGAGACACGGACCAGACUCCUACGGGAGGCAGCAGUGAGGAAUAUUGGACAAUGGGCGAGAGCCUGAUCCAGCCAUGCCGCGUGCAGGAAGACUGCCCUAUGGGUUGUAAACUGUCUUUUACAGAGGAAGAACCCACCCCCACGUGUGGGGGUUUGACGGUACUCUGCGAAUAAGGAUCGGCUAACUCCGUG